AGUGAACGCUGGCGGUAGGCCUAACACAUGCAGGUCGAACGGCAGCACAGGAGAGCUUGCUCUCUGGGUGGCGAGUGGCGGACGGGUGAGGAAUACAUCGGAAUCUACUUUUUCGUGGGGGACAACGCAGGGAAACUUACGCUAAUACCGCAUACGACCUACGGUUGAAAGCAGUGGACCUUCGGGUCUGGCGCGAUUGAAUGAGCGGAUGUCGGAUUAGCUAGUUGGCGGGGUAAAGGCCCACCAAGGCGACGAUCCGUAGCUGGUCUGAGAGGAUGAUCAGCCACACUGGAACUGAGACACGGUCCAGACUCCUACGGGAGGCAGCAGUGGGGAAUAUUGGGCAAUGGGCGCAAGCCUGAUCCAGCCAUACCGCGUGGGUGAAGAAGGCCUUCGGGUUGUAAAGCCCUUUUGUUGGGAAAGAAAUCCAGCUGGCUAAUACCCGGUUGGGAUGACGGUACCCAAAGAAUAAGCACCGGCUAACUUCGUGCCAGCAGCCGCAGUAA
rnacentral:rRNA from 1 species